GCAAACUUGGUCAUUUAGAGGAAGUAAAAGUCGUAACAAGGUUUCCGUAGGUGAACCUGCGGAAGGAUCAUUCAUAAUAAGUGUUCGUUCAAUGGCACUAUAAAUCCAUCCCACCUUGUGUGCAUUGUCGAGAGGGGAGAGGUUUUCCUCUUCCUUCUUUUCAUACACUCGUGUUUUUUCCAUAUCAGUCUAAAACUUUAGAGAAUUAAAAAAACUCGAAAUACAACUUUCAACAACGGAUCUCUUGGCUCUCGCAUCGAUGAAGAACGCAGC
rnacentral:misc_RNA from 1 species